AUGAGGCCCAUGCUGGGCUCAAUGCACUGGAUCAUGGCAUUCCUGUCCAGCUUCAGUUGACGCUGGCAGCGCAGGAAGAGGCUCUCUAUCAAUCUGACCUGCCCCUAGCGGAUCCCAUGGAUGGCAGCCAGCCUGUGAGUUCUGGCACUUCCAGUGGUAAUGGGCUGAUACACCAUUGCUGCAAACGCUGCAGGUCUGAAGUUUAUCUGGUUGGUUAACAGUGCGGGAUGAGAAUUUGUGGCAGUUUCUCACUGAGUUUCUCCAAGCACAGAGGAUUUGAACUGUAAUAAAUGCUGGAAGACAUCGGAUAGCUGCCAGAAAUGUGAUUGGAUGAUGGAGCCAACCAAAUGAACAGCCUGGGAUUCAAGAAGGUAGCAGCACUGCAUGAACAGCACAUUAAAAUUAAAGAAUGCUGAAAGCAAGGCUGGACUGAGACAGUUAAUGAGCAAGCUGUGGGCAAGAAUAUGAUAAAAUAAAAUCCUUAAAAAAAAAAUAGGCAGAAUAUUUUGUAGAAAUUAAAUUGAACGAUUCCUAUGGCCAAGUAGCAAAC
rnacentral:lncRNA from 1 species